rnacentral:rRNA from 1 species
AGUGAACGCUGGCGGUAGGCCUAACACAUGCAAGUCGAACGGCAGCACAGUAAGAGCUUGCUCUUACGGGUGGCGAGUGGCGGACGGGUGAGGAAUACAUCGGAAUCUACUUUUUCGUGGGGGCUAACGUAGGGAAACUUACGCUAAUACCGCAUACGACCUACGGGUGAAAGCAGGGGAUCUUCGGACCUUGCGCGAUUGAAUGAGCCGAUGUCGGAUUAGCUAGUUGGAGGGGUAAAGGCCCACCAAGGCGACGAUCCGUAGCUGGUCUGAGAGGAUGAUCAGCCACACUGGAACUGAGACACGGUCCAGACUCCUACGGGAGGCAGCAGUGGGGAAUAUUGGACAAUGGGCGCAAGCCUGAUCCAGCCAUACCGCGUGGGUGAAGAAGGCCUUCGGGUUGUAAAGCCCUUUUGUUGGGAAAGAAAAGCAGCAGGUUAAUACCCCGCUGUUCUGACGGUACCCAAAGAAUAAGCACCGGCUAACUUCGUG